rnacentral:rRNA from 1 species
UACGGAGGGUGCAAGCCUUAAUCGGAUUUAUUGGGCGUAAAGAGCGCGUAGGCGGACAAAGAAGUCAGAUGUGAAAUCCCGGGGCUCACCCCCGGAACUGCAUUUGAAACUCUUUAGUCUAGAGGAUAGGCGGAGGAAACGGAAUUCCAGAAGUAGCGGUGAAAUGCGUAGAUAUGUGGAAGAACAUCGGUGGCGAAGGCGGUUUUCUAGCUUAUUCCUGACGCUGAGGCGAGAAAGCAAGGGGAGCAAACAGG